AUGGUAAUUUCAUAUGUAUUUAUACACACACAUACACAUGAACACGUGAAUUAUAAUUCAGGCCCAAAAAAUGGUCCAGCAUGUUUUUUUUAUGAUCUUACCUCAAAAAGCUCGAUCUUGACCACACCAACGACGAAAAUGAUCUUCUUUGAUCGUAGCACUCUUGGGCACCCUUGGCACGUAAGAUCUAGCACUCGAACUUGA